GACGAACGCUGGCGGCGUGCUUAACACAUGCAAGUCGAACGGAAAGGCCCUGCUUGCAGGGUACUCGAGUGGCGAACGGGUGAGUAACACGUGGGUGAUCUGCCCUGCACUUCGGGAUAAGCCUGGGAAACUGGGUCUAAUACCGGAUAGGAGCCAUUUUUAGUGUGAUGGUUGGAAAGUUUUUUCGGUGUAGGAUGAGCUCGCGGCCUAUCAGCUUGUUGGGGGGGUAAUGGCCUACCAAGGCGGCGACGGGUAGCCGGCCGGAGAGGGUGGACGGCCACAUUGGGACUGAGAUACGGCCCAGACUCCUACGGGAGGCAGCAGUGGGGAAGAUUGCACAAUGGGCGCAAGCCUGAUGCAGCGACGCCGCGUGGGGGAUGACGGCCUUCGGGUUGUAAACUCCUUUCGCUAGGGACGACGCUUUUUGUGACGGUACCUAGAUAAGAAGCACCGGCUAACUACGUG
rnacentral:rRNA from 1 species